rnacentral:rRNA from 1 species
CGGACGGGUGAGUAACGCGUGGGUAACCUGCCUUGUACUGGGGGACAACAGUUAGAAAUGACUGCUAAUACCGCAUAAGCGCACAGUAUCGCAUGAUACAGUGUGAAAAACUCCGGUGGUACAAGAUGGACCCGCGUCUGAUUAGCUAGUUGGUAAGGUAACGGCUUACCAAGGCGACGAUCAGUAGCCGACCUGAGAGGGUGACCGGCCACAUUGGGACUGAGACACGGUCCAG